CCGGCCGCUGACAUGAAAUCCGUGGUAUCCCUGCGGACAUUGCUCCGGCCGCUCAUUCGGCUGUCUCCGCCAUCUUCCCGUUGCUCCCCGGGGUCCGGGCAUGUGCCGGCCCAGGCUGCUCGCUCCCGACCGGCAGCCAUCCCACAUCGGGGAGAGAGAGGGACCGUGCGCGCUCCCGGGACAGCGCGCGUCCCCGCGUUCAAUGGGG